GAACUGAGAGCAGCGUUGGCCGGGGGCUAGGGAGCCGGGCUGUUCCACGCUCACUGUGCGCCUCGGGCGGCGGGGCUCGGGCUCUGUCCGAGGUGCUGAACUCCGGGGCUCCGGCCGCGCCGGCAGAGUGUGCCAGCGUCCAUUAUUGCCAGUGUCUGUGGGCAUCUUCCAGAAGGCCGAGCAUGGGGGUCAGGUGAAACCAGGGCGCUCCCAAGCACCUUGCCCAGUAGAGCCCCCUUGCACCCUGCUUGGUUGGUCAGCACCCCAUGGACAUGCAGCCUUGACCUUGGCAUGGGAAGCCUCCACUGUGUCAAGCCCAACAUCCAGGCCUCUGAAGACAGUCAUUCAGGUUUUCCAGGAGAGAAUCCACUUUUUGUUUUAUCUGGGUCAACUCCUUCAUAAUGGCCUGAAGGUCAUCUCCUCUCAACUUUCCAGACUUGGAAGAUCCCUGCUGUCCACUCUUAGAAUUGAGGCCACUUUUGCCCCUUCAUGAGGUGUUUCCUGAUACACGCUGACGUUUUGAGAGCACUACAGCCCAAGCAAUAGGAGGAGGAGGAGGCACACGUGCUGAGUAACUGUACAUCGUGUCAUCAUAAUCACCUUGAUAGUCAUAGCCCAAGUGAAAAGAGGAGCUAUACAUCUCCACUGCAGAUCGUUUCACGCCUGCUUUUCCACGGUUCACUUUUGGCUCUGCAGCCAGGUUAAUAUCUAAAACCUGGCCAGCAAUCAUUCUAUCAUCCUCUCCUGCUCCAGCAGCCCGGGCAUUUCUCUCACUAAAAUAUUGAACAAAGGCAAAGCCCUUAUGAACAGCACAGCCCAUUUUGCCAUACUUCGAAAAGAUUGCCUCCACAUCAGAUUUCUUGACCACAAGAGUGUUGAGAUUCCCAAUGAACACAUGGGAGUUCAUGGAGCAAGGAUUUGUCUUGUUGGUAACGUUGCUGGCCAUUGUGUUUGCUGAUAAGGUUUCUCACAAAGCUGAAAACAGGAGGGGGAGGGAGAAGAGAUUCGAUUCUGAGUCUCCUACUCCCGGGUUCUACAUGGAGAAGCCAACUGCUGCUCAAGGUCACCAACACGGCCACAACCACUCAGUCUUCGUCUCUUCACAAAAAAAUCAAUAGUAGGUUUUUUUCCUCACCUGUGUAACAUCUUGUCACUCCAGAUAAACACCACCAUCCCUGAGCUGGACUUGACCCAAGUUCCCUGGUCACAUCUCCAUGGCUUCCAAGUAGAUGACAGCAUCCUGGCUGGGCUAUCAGGUCCCAGGAUGCAAUGAUAUUACAGAAAUAGUUCCUGUGGCCCCAUAAGUCUACAGGAUUGAGGCUGCUUCUCACCUCUGUCUCCUUCCAAAUUGGCUCUGGAACAGGGAUAGGCUGUAAUAUAUAGAUGGGACCCUCAGAACCUCUACCUGAGGGGUUCAGGGGAGCCAGAGGCAGGUAACACCAGGCAGGAUCCUCCUUGAAUUCAUCCUUUAUGCCUUUAACAAAGUAACCAAGCACAUGCUCUAGCGAUAAUCAAUUUAGGCACAUCCCACAGAUUCCAGCUUCUCUGCCACCAACCACCAGGCAUGAUCUAAGCAAGCUCUUUCACCUCUUGGAGCCUUAAUUUUCUCAUCUACAAAAUGGAAUAACGCGAUCAUCCUUGAAGGUGAGUUACAUGUGAUCAUGGGUGUGAGCAGCUCUUUGUAAGCAAUGAAGGCCCAAGCAAUUGGAAGGGGUGGUGAUCAUGGAACUGUCAAAGGUACAUUUGUUGCUGUGAAAAACUGAAGGUACUGGACCAUUUUCUCAUCUUUCUACAGGUUGCUGGAAUCACAACUUAUAAUUAAUGCACAGUGAUAUGGCUUGACCCAGUUUCCUAAAUUGGAAUGUUUCAGCUAAAACUGAUGAAAAAUUCUUGUCUUCCAAGCAGAACUAGCUAGAUGAACCCCCUCCAGAGCUAGUGAGUAAAUAUAUACAG
rnacentral:lncRNA from 1 species